rnacentral:rRNA from 1 species
GACGAACGCUGGCGGCGUGCCUAAUACAUGCAAGUAGAACGCUGACGGAGGAGCUUGCUUCUCUGGAUGAGUUGCGAACGGGUGAGUAACGCGUAGGUAACCUGCCUGGUAGCGGGGGAUAACUAUUGGAAACGAUAGCUAAUACCGCAUAAGAGUAGAUGUCGCAUGACAUUUGCUUAAAAAGUGCAAUUGCAUCACUAACAGAUGGACCUGCGUUGUAUUAGCUAGUUGGUGAGGUAUCGGCUCACCUAGGCAACGAUAUAUAGCCGACCUGAGAGGGGGAUCGGCCACACUGUGAGUGAGACACGGCCCAGACUCCUACAGGAAGCAGCAGUAGGGAAUCUUCGGCAAGGGACGGAAGUCGGACCGAGCAACGCCGCGUGAGUGAUGAAGGUUCUCGGAUCGUAGAGCGCUGUUGUAAGAGUAGAACGAGUGUGAGAGUGUAAAGUUCACACUGUGACGGUAUCUUACCAGAAAGUGACGGCUAACUACGUG